rnacentral:tRNA from 1 species
GUCUCGGUAGUCUAAAGGCUUAGGACGCUCGCACGGAAUGCAAGAGAUCCGGGUUCGACUCCCGGCCAAGGCA